rnacentral:rRNA from 1 species
AUUGAACGCUGGCGGCAUGCUUUACACAUGCAAGUCGGACGGCAGCACAGAGAAGCUUGCUUCUUGGGUGGCGAGUGGCGAACGGGUGAGUAAUAUAUCGGAACGUACCGAGUAAUGGGGGAUAACUAAUCGAAAGAUUAGCUAAUACCGCAUAUUCUCUGAGGAGGAAAGCAGGGGACCUUCGGGCCUUGCGUUAUUCGAGCGGCCGAUAUCUGAUUAGCUAGUUGGUGGGGUAAAGGCCUACCAAGGCGACGAUCAGUAGCGGGUCUGAGAGGAUGAUCCGCCACACUGGGACUGAGACACGGCCCAGACUCCUACGGGAGGCAGCAGUGGGGAAUUUUGGACAAUGGGCGCAAGCCUGAUCCAGCCAUGCCGCGUGUCUGAAGAAGGCCUUCGGGUUGUAAAGGACUUUUGUCAGGGAAGAAAAGGCUGUUGCUAAUAUCGACAGCUGAUG